GUGCCAGCAGCCGCGGUAAGACGAACCGUGCGAACGUUAUUCGGAAUCACUGGGCUUAAAGCGCGUGUAGGCGGGUCGGUGCGUCGGCCGCUGAAAUCCCCCGGCUCAACCGGGGAAGGGGCGCCGAUACGACCGGCCUGGAGCGACGUAGGGGGAACUGGAACUUCCGGUGGAGCGGUGAAAUGCGUUGAGAUCGGAAGGAACGCCCGUGGCGAAAGCGAGUUCCUGGACGUCGGCUGACGCUGAGACGCGAAAGCCAGGGGAGCGAACGGGAUUAGAUACCCCUGUAGUCC
rnacentral:rRNA from 1 species